UUGACCUCAAAUCAGGUAGGACUACCCGCUGAACUUAAGCAUAUCAAUAAGCGGAGGAAAAGAAACUAACAAGGAUUCCCCUAGUAACUGCGAGUGAAGCGGGAAAAGCUCAAAUUUGAAAUCUGGCAGCUCUUUGAACUGUCCGAGUUGUAAUCUAGAGAAGUGUUACCUGUGCUGGACCGUGUACAAGUCUCCUGGAAUGGAGCGUCACAGAGGGUGAGAAUCCCGUCUUUGACACGGACUGCCUGCAUGUUAUGGUGCGCUCUCAAAGAGUCGAGUUGUUUGGGAAUGCAGCUCAAAAUGGGUGGUAAAUGCCAUCUAAAGCUAAAUAUUGGCGAGAGACCGAUAGCGAACAAGUACCGUGAGGGAAAGAUGAAAAGAACUUUGGAAAGAGAGUUAAACAGUACGUGAAAUUGCUGAAAGGGAAACGCUUGAAGUCAGUCGCGUCGGCUAGAAAUCAACCUUGCUUUUGCUUGGUGUAUUUUCUUGUUGAUGGGUCAGCAUCAAUUUUGACCGUUGGACAAAGUCAUUGGGAAUGUGGCAUCUUAGGAUGUGUUAUAGCCCAUUGUCGCAUACAGCGGUUGGGAUUGAGGAACUCAGCACGCCCGCAAGGGACGGGUUUCGACCACGUUCGUGCUUAGGAUGCUGGCAUAAUGGCUUUAAUCGACCCGUCUUGAAACACGGACCAAGGAGUCUAACAUGCCUGCGAGUGUUUGGGUGGAAAACCCAUGCGCGCAAUGAAAGUGAAAGUUGAGAUCCCCCCUCCAGGGGAGCAUUGACGCCCGGACCAGACCUUCUGUGACGGAUCCGCGGUAGAGCAUGUAUGUUGGGACCCGAAAGAUGGUGAACUAUGCCUGAAUAGGGUGAAGCCAGAGGAAACUCUGGUGGAGGCUCGUAGCGAUUCUGACGUGCAAAUCGAUCGUCAAAUUUGGGUAUAGGGGCGAAAGACUAAUCGAACCAUCUAGUAGCUGGU
rnacentral:rRNA from 1 species